rnacentral:lncRNA from 1 species
AUGAGGAGAAGGGGGUCCCCGAGCGGGGAGGGAGGGAGGGGCGGCGGCAGCGCUCGGGGAGGGGGCGCGGCGGGCGCGGCGGGGGCGGCGGGGGCGGCGGGGGCGCCCGGCUCACCUCAGCGGGCGCGGACGGCGGGCGGCGGCGGGGGUCCCCGGCCGAGGGGUCGCGGGCAUGGACGCGGCGGCGGCGGCGGCGGCGGCGGCGGCCGAGGCGCGCGGGCGCCCUACUCCCCUCGCGGCUGCCUGCGGACAGAGGGACGGUGGGGACUCAGAGGCCGGACCUGUCACCGGGGCGGGUCCGGGGAGGCGGGCGGAUGCCCCGCGCCCCCGCCUCCUCCUCGGGGCCUACCGCGCCCUCGUCCCUCAUGCCGCCGCCGCCGCCGCCGCCGCCGCCCCGGGCCGCACGACGACGACGACGACGACGACAGCCGGUCCCCGCCCCCUCCGCGCCGCUCCGGGCCCCGCGCCGCCGCAGCCCCGCGCCCGCCGAGCCGCGGUUACCUCAGGCUGGCCGGGCCCCGGCCCGGGCUGCGGGAGCCGGAGGCGCCGGAAGAAUGCAUGGCCGGCGGCGGGGCCGGCGGAAGGAGGCGGCGGCGGGGCCCGGGCCCGCUCCCGCUCCCGCUCCCGCUCCCGCUGCGGCUGCGGCUGCGGCUGCGGCGCCCACCCUCGCUCCCCGGGCCGGGCGGCGUUCGCCGGGUGGCGCGGCGCGGCGCGGCGGCGGGAGGACGCGGCGGGAGCAGACGCGGCGGCGGGGCCGCCCCCAGAGCGCCCUCUAAUGAAGGCUCCGCGGCCGCCGCCGCCGCCGCCGCCGCCGCCGCCGCCGCCGCCGCCGCCGCCGCCGCCGCCGCCGCGGCCCCGACCCCGCGCGUCCGCGGGGCGGGCCCUUGGGGCAGCAGGGCCCUAGGCCGGCGGGACCUCGCCGAGCCCGGGUCCCGGGGAGCCGGCGGCCCGGCGGGGCCUGGGGAAGGGCAGCGGGCCCUGCUCCAGGCGGGGGGCGCCGCGGGCCGGGCGGGAGCCCCUCUCAGCCCCACCCCCCCGCCCCCCGCCCCGCCGGCUCGCAUUGUUAGGGCGCCCCCGCCUGCGGCUGACCGCUUGGUCCCCCAGCUGGGAAGCGGUCUCCGGGGAGGGCCUGAGGUGCUCUUUCCCUUCCUAACGAGGCCCAGUGGCUCUCACGGCUUCUCCACCUCCCCAGGGCAUUCAGGUCGAGAGUUUAAGAUCAAUUCAUUUUAA